rnacentral:tRNA from 1 species
GCCUCAGUGGCGGAAUUGGCAUACGCAGCAGGUUGAGGGCCUGUGCCCUUUCGGGCGUGGAGGUUCGAGUCCUCUCUGAGGCAC